rnacentral:rRNA from 1 species
UACAGAGGUGGCAAGCGUUGUUCGGAAUUACUGGGCGUAAAGGGCGCGUAGGCGGCCUUCUAAGUCAGACGUGAAAUCCCCCGGCUUAACCUGGAGACGCCACCCGAUACUGCUGUGGCUAGAGUCCAGUAGGGGAGCGUGGAAUUCCUGGUGUAGCGGUGAAAUGCGCAGAUAUCAGGAGGAACACCAGCGGCGAAGGCGGCGCUCUGGGCUGGCACUGACGCUGAGGAGCGAAAGCGUGGGGAGCAAACAGG